GAUGAACGCUGGCGGCGUGCCUAAUACAUGCAAGUCGAGCGAACAGACGAGGAGCUUGCUCCUCUGAUGUUAGCGGCGGACGGGUGAGUAACACGUGGAUAACCUACCUAUAAGACUGGGAUAACUUCGGGAAACCGGAGCUAAUACCGGAUAACAUGUUGAACCGCAUGGUUCAACAGUGAAAGACGGUCUUGCUGUCACUUAUAGAUGGAUCCGCGCCGCAUUAGCUAGUUGGUAAGGUAACGGCUUACCAAGGCAACGAUGCGUAGCGGACCUGAGAGGGUGAUAGGCAACACUGGAACUGAGACACGGUCCAGACUCCUAGGGGAGGCAGCAGUAGGAAAUCUUCCGCAAUGGGCGAAGGCCUGACGGAGCAACGCCGCGUGAGUAAAAAAGGUCUUCGGAUCGUAAAACUCUGUUAUUAGGGAAGAACAAACGUGUAAGUAACGAUGCACGUCUGGACGGUACCAAAGAAGAAAGCCACGGCUAACUACGG
rnacentral:rRNA from 1 species